UACAGAGGGGGCAAGCGUUGUUCGGAAUUACUGGGCGUAAAGGGCGCGUAGGCGGUGCUGUAAGUCUGUAGUGAAAUCUCUGGGCUCAACUCAGAGUCUGCUAUAGAAACUGCAGUGCUGGAGUGUGGGAGAGGUGAGUGGAAUUCCCGGUGUAGCGGUGAAAUGCGUAGAUAUCGUAAGGAAGACCAGUGGCGAAGGCGGGUCUCUGGACAGUUCCUGACGCUGAGGCACGAAGGCCAGGGGAGCAAACGGG
rnacentral:rRNA from 1 species